AUUGAACGCUGGCGGCAGGCCUAACACAUGCAAGUCGAGCGGAGAGGCGGACGGGUGAGUAAUGCCUAGGAAUCUGCCUGGGAGUAGGGGAUAACGUCCGGAAACGGGAGCUAAUACCGCAUACUCUCAGAUGAGCCUAGGGCGGAUUAGCAAGUUGGUGGGGUAAGGGCCUACCAAGGCGACGAUCCGUACCUGGUCUUGGAGGAUGAUCAGUCACACUGGAACUGAGACACGGUCCAGACUCCUACGGGAGGCAGCAGUGGGGAAUAUUGGACAAUGGGCGAAAGCCUGAUCCAGCCAUGCCGCGUGUGUGAAGAAGGUCUUCGGAUUGUAAAGCACUUUAAGUUGGGAGGCGUUACCAACAGAAUAAGCACCGGCUAACUUCGUGCCAGCAGCCGCGGUAAUUC
rnacentral:rRNA from 1 species